GCCUGGCUGGGUCAAUUGGAAGACUAUGAGACUCUUGAUCUUGAGGUCAUGAGUUCAAGCCCCAUGUUGAGCA
rnacentral:tRNA from 1 species